rnacentral:rRNA from 1 species
UACGGAGGGUCCAAGCGUUUAUCCGGAAUCAUUGGGGUUUAAAGGGUCCGUAGGCGGUUUUGUAAGUCAGUGGUGAAAGCCCAUCGCUCAACGGUGGAACGGCCAUUGAUACUGCAAGACUUGAAUUAUUAGGAAGUAACUAGAAUAUGUAGUGUAGCGGUGAAAUGCUUAGAGAUUACAUGGAAUACCAAUUGCGAAGGCAGGUUACUACUAAUGGAUUGACGCUGAUGGACGAAAGCGUGGGUAGCGAACAGG